GGGUCAACCCGGACAAUAUACUUGAUAUAACAAAUUUAACAUAUGAAGACAUAAGUAUUGUUUGGUGCAAUGGGUUCUGCUUUCGCCUCAUUAUCUCUAAGGGCGUGGGAUUGAAACCUAAUUGCUAUAAGUUUUGCUGGUUUUUUUUGCUCUUUUAUUUUUGUUUCAAUUUUUUUUCUUCUUUCCUUUACAAUAUUAUUAAUUUUAUCUUUCUAUAUUUUAUUAGUUGUUUUAGUGUUUGAAUAUUUUUUUUAUUUUAAUUUUGUUUUCAGCUUUAAUUAUAAUGGUUUUUUAUAUCAUUUUUUUAUAUUUUAUUUAGUUCAACAUUUUAAAAAUGUUAUUUAUUUCAAGUUAUUUUAAAAUAAUUUUU
rnacentral:lncRNA from 1 species